rnacentral:rRNA from 1 species
UAUAGGAGGUCCAGCCUGCCAGUGACUACAAGUUCAACGGCCGCGGUAUUUUGACCGUGCAAAGGUAGCGCAAUCACUUGUCUUUUAAAUAGAGACCUGUAUGAAUGGCUAAACGAGGGCUUAACUGUCUCCCCUUUCCAGUCAGUGAAAUUGAUCUGCCCGUGCAGAAGCGGGCAUAAAAAUACAAGACGAGAAGACCCUUUGGAGCUUAAGGUACAAAACUCAACCACGUCAAGCGACUCAAUAUAAAAGCAAAAACUUUGUGGAAUAUGAGAUUUUACCUUCGGUUGGGGCGACCACGGAGGAAAACAAAGCCUCCAAGUGGAUUGGGACAAACCUCCUAAAACCAAGAGAGACAUCUCUAAGCCACAGAACAUCUGACCAAACAUGAUCCGGCUGCCCGAAGCCGAUCAACGAACCAAGUUACCCUAGGGAUAACAGCGCAAUCCUCUCCCAGAGUCCAUAUCGACGAGAGGGUUUACGACCUCGAUGUUGGAUCAGGACAUCCUAAUGGUGCAGCCGCUAUUAAGGGUUCGUUUGUUCAACGAUUAAAGUCCUACGUGAUCUGAG